UGAAUUGUUCUAAUUUGAAUUAGUAUUUGACAUUUGUAUAAUCUUUAAGUGCAUGUGUAGCAAGCAUCAUACUUUGCUAGAGUAUCAAAUGACUAAGUUUCACCAACCAUUACUUGUCUCCAUCUUCUCUCUUUCUUGCUAUAUAAACCCCUCACUCUCCCCUCAUUCCCUCACCACUCCAGCUCCCUCCCAAGGUCCCAUGUCUCUUCUUCCCUCUUUCUCCCUCAAAUCUCCCUGCCAUGUCCAAGAAGCAUGUUGAGAAAACCUUACAUUGUUUGGAGCGGAAAGAAGGGAGAAUCAGCGUGACAAAGAAAAAGAGGGAAAAAAGAGAGAAUUGAGAAGACACUAUAUAGCCAAAGAAAAGGAAAAGCAACAAUCACAUCAUGGUGCAACAGAAGAAGAAAAAAAAAUAAAAAUAGAGGUACAUACAAAUUGUAAUUAUUUUUCAUUUACUUCUAGGGUUACUGUGCAUAAUAGCCCUAGGAGACGGUUAUGGAACUGUAAUGGGUCAUUUUUACACUAUCUCUAUUUCAGACUGUAUCGCAUAGCGACUAAUAUGUAACUGAUUCAACACACCUUGGCACUA